GAAGAACUAGCAUGGUCUUACUAAGGCUACCAUAAGAGCCUGCUUCUCGCUACAAUUAUUCUUGUUUGAGGUAUCCUGCAAAAGGAACCUGCUCUGAAGAGUUCCUUCACUGUGCAGUCUUUCAGGACCAAGUGUUGUGGACUUGAUAUCAAUUUGCUAACUUCAUCAGUGGUGGGAUUCAUGGUGACCACACGGAGUUUGUAUCAUGCUUCUCAGCCUUCUUCAGAAUCAAAUGGUCUUAGUGGGGAGAAGAUGGUUCACACUGGAGUGGGCUAUUGAGUGACUAUUUUUACACUCUAUUUUUACCUAAACCUUGGCCAUCUAUUGGUUAUCAAUGUAGCAUCUUCAGGGAUGAAGCAUCUUGAUGCGUAAGUUAUUUUUUGUUGAUAUGAUGAAAUGUCAUUUCUAAUGUAUCUGUCUAAAGUAUGUGUCACCCUUAAUUACCAUUCAGAUUCAGUACCA
rnacentral:lncRNA from 1 species